GAUGAACGCUAGCUACAGGCUUAACACAUGCAAGUCGAGGGGCAGCAUUUCAGUUUGCUUGCAAACUGGAGAUGGCGACCGGCGCACGGGUGAGUAACACGUAUCCAACCUGCCGAUAACUCGGGGAUAGCCUUUCGAAAGAAAGAUUAAUACCCGAUGGCAUAAUUAGACCGCAUGGUCUUAUUAUUAAAGAAUUUCGGUUAUCGAUGGGGAUGCGUUCCAUUAGGCAGUUGGUGAGGUAACGGCUCACCAAACCUUCGAUGGAUAGGGGUUCUGAGAGGAAGGUCCCCCACAUUGGAACUGAGACACGGUCCAAACUCCUACGGGAGGCAGCAGUGAGGAAUAUUGGUCAAUGGGCGCAGGCCUGAACCAGCCAAGUAGCGUGAAGGAUGACUGCCCUAUGGGUUGUAAACUUCUUUUAUAUGGGAAUAAAGUUUUCCACGUGUGGAAUUUUGUAUGUACCAUAUGAAUAAGGAUCGGCUAACUCCGUGCCAGCAGCCGCGGUAAUACGGAGGAUCCGAGCGUUAUCCGGAUUUAUUGGGUUUAAAGGGAGCGUAGGUGGACAGUUAAGUCAGUUGUGAAAGUUUGCGGCUCAACCGUAAAAUUGCAGUUGAUACUGGCUGUCUUGAGUACAGUAGAGGUGGGCGGAAUUCGUGGUGUAGCGGUGAAAUGCUUUAGAUAUCACGAAGAACUCCGAUUGCGAAGGCAGCUCACUGGACUGCAACUGACACUGAUGCUGGAAAGUGUGGGUAUCAAACAGGGUUAGAUACCCUGGUAGUCCACACAGUAAACGAUGAAUACUCGCUGUUUGCGAUAUACAGUAAGCGGCCAAGCGAAAGCAUUAAGUAUUCCACCUGGGGAGUACGCCGGCAACGGUGAAACUCAAAGGAAUUGACGGGGGCCCGCACAAGCGGAGGAACAUGUGGUUUAAUUCGAUGAUACGCGAGGAACCUUACCCGGGCUUAAAUUGCAUUUGAAUAUAUUGGAAACAGUAUAGCCGUAAGGCAAAUGUGAAGGUGCUGCAUGGUUGUCGUCAGCUCGUGCCGUGAGGUGUCGGCUUAAGUGCCAUAACGAGCGCAACCCUUAUCUUUAGUUACUAACAGGUCAUGCUGAGGACUCUAGAGAGACUGCCGUCGUAAGAUGUGAGGAAGGUGGGGAUGACGUCAAAUCAGCACGGCCCUUACGUCCGGGGCUACACACGUGUUACAAUGGGGGGUACAGAAGGCAGCUACCUGGUGACAGGAUGCUAAUCCCAAAAGCCUCUCUCAGUUCGGAUCGAAGUCUGCAACCCGACUUCGUGAAGCUGGAUUCGCUAGUAAUCGCGCAUCAGCCAUGGCGCGGUGAAUACGUUCCCGGGCCU
rnacentral:rRNA from 1 species